UACAGCCAUGUCACGUUGAAACACCGGUUUCUGUUCAGAAGUUAAGCAACGUUGAGCUUGGUCAGUACCUAAAUGGGUGACCGCUUGGGAAUACCAGGAA
rnacentral:rRNA from 1 species